rnacentral:tRNA from 1 species
GGCAGAAGAGCUCAGUGGAAGAGCACAUGCUUAGCAUGCAUGAGGUUCUGGGUUCAAUCCUGAGUACUUCCA